UGUCACCUGGCCGCCGGGCGUGAGGGCUUCCCAGCACCGAGAUUUUACAGGGAACACCAACGUAGAGGCCGAGGCUAAAUGAAGGCCAAGUGUACUAAGAGGAACUAACCUUUGAGAAGUUAAUCUGGAUGUCAACUGUACUGAUGUUCCAGACAGAUGUGGCCCCCUUAAAUUCACAUGCUGAAGCCUAACGCCCAAUGAGACUGUAUUUGGAGACACAGUCUAUCAGGAGGACUGUGGAGUCAAGAUUGCCGGGAGAAAUAUCAAUAUCCUCAGAUAUGCAGAUGACACCACCCUUAUGGCAGAAAGUGAAGAGGAACUAAAAGCCUCUUGAUGAAUGUGAAGGAGGAAAGUGACAAAGUUGGCUUAAAGCUCAACAUUCAGAAAACGAAGAUCACGGCAUCUGGUCCCAUCACUUCAUGGAAAUGAAUGGGGAAACAGUAG
ensembl:lncRNA